ACGCCUUAUACAUGCAAGUCGAACGGAGUAGCAAUACUUAGUGGCAGACGGGUGAGUAACAUGUGGGUAUCUUCCCUUUGGUGAGGAAUAACACGAGGAAACUUGUGCUAAUACCUCAUAAGUCUUUACGGAGAAAGCUUUAUGCGCCGAUGGAUGAGCCCGCACUUGAUUAGUUUGUUGGUAGGGUAAUGGCCUACCAAGACGGUGAUCAAUAGCUGAUCUGAGAGGAUGAUCAGCCACAUUGGGACUGAGACACGGCCCAAACUCCUACGGGAGGCAGCAGUAGGGAAUAUUGCACAAUGGAGGAAACUCUGAUGCAGCGAUGCCGCGUGAGUGAAGAAGGCCCUUGGGUUGUAAAGCUCUUUCGUCGGGGAAGAAAAUGACUGUACCCGAAUAAGAAGGUCCGGCUAACUUCGUGCCAGCAGCCGCGGUAAUACGAAGGGACCUAGCGUAGUUCGGAAUUACUGGGCUUAAAGAGUUCGUAGGUGGUUAAAAAAGUUGGUGGUGAAAUCCCAGAGCUUAACUCUGGAACUGCCAUCAAAACUUUUUAGCUAGAGUAUGAUAGAGGAAAGCAGAAUUUCUAGUGUAGAGGUGAAAUUCGUAGAUAUUAGAAAGAAUACCGAUUGCGAAGGCAGCUUUCUGGAUCAUUACUGACACUGAGGAACGAAAGCAUGGGUAGCGAAGAGGAUUAGAUACCCUCGUAGUCCAUGCUGUAAACGAUGUGUGUUAGACGUUGGAAAUUUAUUUUCAGUGUCGCAGCGAAAGCAAUAAACACACCGCCUGGG
rnacentral:rRNA from 1 species